rnacentral:rRNA from 1 species
AGGAUAAACGCUGGCGGCGUGCCUAACACAUGCAAGUCGAACGUCUCUUCUUUCGGGAAGAGGAGUGGCGGACGGGUGAGGAACACGUGGGAACCUGCCCUUUAGUGAGGAAUACCGGCGAGAAAUCGCCGACAAGACCGCAUAGCCCUCUUUGAUGAGAGUCAAAGAAGGAAAGCUUCGCAAGAGGCGCUAGAGGAGGGGCCUGCGUCCGAUUAGCUAGUUGGUGGGGUAAGAGCCUACCAAGGCGUCGAUCGGUAGCUGGUCUGAGAGGACGAUCAGCCACACUGGGAUUGAGAACGGCCCAGACUCCUACGGGGGGCAGCAGUGAGGAAUUUUCGGCAAUGGGGGAAACCCUGACCGAGCAACGCCGCGUGCAGGAAGACGGCCUUCGGGUUGUAAACUGCUUUCUUUGGGUAAGAGAACGGACGGUACCAGAGGAAUCAGCCCCGGCUCACUACGUGCCAGCAGCCGC